ACAAACGUAGACGCAAACGAUGGCAAAAUGAUCCGGAUCCAAACCGCACCUAAAACACAACCCACAGCCUCUCUGCGGGUUUCUCCACACAUAUUCAAAAUCUCACUCAAACACCGAUCACUUCAAUCCUAUUCAAGUCCUUACACAACCCCCGUCUCUCUCAACUUUCAAUGCCUCUGCAAUUUAAGGGUUUGCUAUCAACUACGGAUUUAAACGAUGUUGGCUUCGUUGAACCUGGGGAAACCCUAUAGAAGAUCAGAUUCUACGUGUGCUUCGUCUCUUGGCGUUUUAAAGAAUGGUUUGUGAUUGAUUUCAGGUUCAGGUGUUUGAUGAAAUUUCUUAUGAGUUCUAGAAGCCAUAAUACAUGGAGAGUCGUAAGGAGGAAGAUAGGUAAGAAAUGUGAUGCUCUAUUGUUGAUCUAAUCAAGGUAAGUUGUGUUUGAUUCUUAUUACUAAUUAUCAGUUAAAAAUGUAUUGUAUAUAAAUGUUUUUUAACAAGGGGUUGCUGAUAUUUCCUAGAGGUAUGAAAGGUUUGAUUAAGCAUGGACAAAAAGUAGAUGAUUCAAAAAAAAAAAUUAUGAUCCUGCUUUCAUGGAGGAAUUGAGGACAAGAAGACAAACAUUUCAUGAGUUUCUCAUACACAAUUGUAGAACCAGUUCAUAAACCAUAGAAAUAUGGAAUAUGCAAAUGGACAAAUGUCCAUGUACAAUGAUAGAUUUGCUAAGAAGUGUUCAUAAAAGAAAUAUUCAACUUGUGGUGGUGUUCAUAAAAGUAACAUUCAACUAGCAUUGAUAACACCUACUCUUCUAAGUUUAUGAAAUUUUACAUGUAUUACUUUUGUGAUCUUUUGAAAUUAUGUUGUUUUAGGUUUCUACAAGUUUUGUGUUUAUUUUUAUUUUUAUGUGAACUUUUAUUUUGAACAAAUUGUUUUUAUUUUCAUAUAUUUUCAAGUCAAUACCUUGAACAAAAUAAAUAUAUUUAAUUUCUAUUUAGCAAUCCCGUACAUCGCACGGGUUAGCGAUUAGUUCUUUUAAAUGCCAACCCUUUCUUCUUCUUCUUCUUCUUCUUCAGACCUUUAGUAUGACUAACGCCAACCUCUCUCUCUUCCAAAGACAAAUUCAAUAGAUACUUCAGACCUUCGGCUUUCUAACUCCAACCUCUCUUCCCUCCUUCAUCUCUUCCUCUCCUUAUUUAAGUGAAUCAUUCCUUUUGCUCUUCCUAUCUUUCAUGGUUUCAAAACUCCUCAUUUAAUUGAAUAAGAAAACAUCAUAUUUGAAGAAGAGCUUAGAAAUUCUGACAGAAUGUGGAUGAUUCACUUCAGGUAUUUCACCUUUGUUCAUGUUUCAUUUGGGAGUGUUUCUUCUGAAUGAUUUGCUUAGAUUGAUGGGUUUGGAGCCCUGUAGUGGGUUUUGCUAAUUUCAAUUAUUGGACGCAUUGCUCUCUCUUUUGUAUUUCAGUAAUUCAAUCAACACUCCGUUUCCUUUUGCGAGAGGCAAAUUGGUCCAACCACAGGCCCAGGUUCAAGGCCACCGUCAACUUUAAUGGCAAGGAGUUGUUAGCUGCCUCCUCUCCUCUGUACGAGCCGUCGAUAUCUACAUCCGCUGCAAGGUCUAUAUAUCAAUUGUUGCCGUUGGCUGUAAAGAAAAGCUCAGAAAUUAGGGCUGGCAUUGCGAAGAAGGAACAUAUCAAGAUUCGUUGUUUUUGAAUAGCUGCAGCCUUUCGUAUUGAUUUGCUGGAUGUGAAUGAUGAUGUGGGGGGACUUAGACGAAGAUAAUGAGCUACCUGUCUUUUAUCUCAAGAGAGAAUCUAUAAAUUCUUCAUGCUUCUUGGAAGCUCAUUCCAGGCCAAUUUUUCCCAAACAUUUGACUCCACUUGCAACAAGGACAGUUCAAGUGUAUCCAGAAGUUCAGGCGACGCCAAUGAAGGGGAAGAGUGUGUUCAAGGAUCCAUGACUUGGAACUAAAGUGCUAUAUUAGUAUAUCUUUGGUAUUACUUUAGUUUGCCUGUGGAUAUGGCUGUCGGAUGUGGUGUGUAUUAGUAAGUUAUGGCUAAUUGUAAUCUGUGUAAUCUUUUUUCUCCACAUAUUGGUAAUUUUUUGUUCUCUGAGCUCUUUUUACUCGUUAAUUUUUCUAUCGUUUGAGCAAACCUAAGCUUGACGAGACUUUGGGCUUUGUCAGUAGUUUCUAUUGGUAAUUUAUACCCACACAAAAAUUCAGGAUUAAUCCAGCAAUUGAAUGAGAUGAAGUCAA